rnacentral:lncRNA from 1 species
UAUAGUUUAGAGAGUAUUCCUUUAAAUUGUGUCAGUUAUAUAAAGUAGUGUGUAUUUGUAUUCUAUUUAUUCAUCUAAAUGUAUCAUUAUAAUAUACAUUUUGUAUUUCACAACUAUAUAUACUAUAAGUUGUAGUGUGAUUGAUUGUUGUUUAAAGUCCAGUGGCAAAUACUUCAUGCAUGUUCAGGACCAGCUGUAAGUUUAUGACAUGUAUGGAACUCACCGGUGUAGUUUUCACGUGUUAUAAUAGAUAAAAGAAUAAUUAAUUUUUAAGAUAUCGAAACAUGAAGGAGGCAAGGCGCAUGGAUUACCCGCACUUAUCAGUUCUUUUCUCUUUUUUGUCUU